AAAUUGAAGAGUUUGAUCAUGGCUCAGAUUGAACGCUGGCGGCAGGCCUAACACAUGCAAGUCGAACGGUAACAGGAAGCAGCUUGCUGCUUCGCUGACGAGUGGCGGACGGGUGAGUAAUGUCUGGGAAACUGCCUGAUGGAGGGGGAUAACUACUGGAAACGGUGGCUAAUACCGCAUAACGUCGCAAGACCAAAGAGGGGGACCUUCGGGCCUCUUGCCAUCAGAUGUGCCCAGAUGGGAUUAGCUUGUUGGUGAGGUAACGGCUCACCAAGGCGACGAUCCCUAGCUGGUCUGAGAGGAUGACCAGCCACACUGGAACUGAGACACGGUCCAGACUCCUACGGGAGGCAGCAGUGGGGAAUAUUGCACAAUGGGCGCAAGCCUGAUGCAGCCAUGCCGCGUGUAUGAAGAAGGCCUUCGGGUUGUAAAGUACUUUCAGCGGGGAGGAAGGUGUUGCGGUUAAUAACCGCAGCAAUUGACGUUACCCGCAGAAGAAGCACCGGCUAACUCCGUGCCAGCAGCCGCGGUAAUACGGAGGGUGCAAGCGUUAAUCGGAAUUACUGGGCGUAAAGCGCACGCAGGCGGUCUGUCAAGUCGGAUGUGAAAUCCCCGGGCUCAACCUGGGAACUGCAUUCGAAACUGGCAGGCUUGAGUCUUGUAGAGGGGGGUAGAAUUCCAGGUGUAGCGGUGAAAUGCGUAGAGAUCUGGAGGAAUACCGGUGGCGAAGGCGGCCCCCUGGACAAAGACUGACGCUCAGGUGCGAAAGCGUGGGGAGCAAACAGGAUUAGAUACCCUGGUAGUCCACGCCGUAAACGAUGUCUACUUGGAGGUUGUGCCCUUGAGGUGUGGCUUCCGGAGCUAACGCGUUAAGUAGACCGCCUGGGGAGUACGGCCGCAAGGUUAAAACUCAAAUGAAUUGACGGGGGCCCGCACAAGCGGUGGAGCAUGUGGUUUAAUUCGAUGCAACGCGAAGAACCUUACCUGGUCUUGACAUCCACAGAAGAAUCCAGAGAUGGAUUUGUGCCUUCGGGAACUGUGAGACAGGUGCUGCAUGGCUGUCGUCAGCUCGUGUUGUGAAAUGUUGGGUUAAGUCCCGCAACGAGCGCAACCCUUAUCCUUUGUUGCCAGCGGUCCGGCCGGGAACUCAAAGGAGACUGCCAGUGAUAAACUGGAGGAAGGUGGGGAUGACGUCAAGUCAUCAUGGCCCUUACGACCAGGGCUACACACGUGCUACAAUGGCGCAUACAAAGAGAAGCGACCUCGCGAGAGCAAGCGGACCUCAUAAAGUGCGUCGUAGUCCGGAUUGGAGUCUGCAACUCGACUCCAUGAAGUCGGAAUCGCUAGUAAUCGUGGAUCAGAAUGCCACGGUGAAUACGUUCCCGGGCCUUGUACACACCGCCCGUCACACCAUGGGAGUGGGUUGCAAAAGAAGUAGGUAGCUUAACCUUCGGGAGGGCGCUUACCACUUUGUGAUUCAUGACUGGGGUGAAGUCGUAACAAGGUAACCGUAGGGGAACCUGCGGUUGGAUCACCUCCUUA
rnacentral:rRNA from 4 species